AGAACGAACGCUGGCGGCAUGCCUAAUACAUGCAAGUCGAACGAACACUCUGACUUCGGUUGAGGUGUUAGUGGCGCACGGGUGCGUGACGCGUGGGAAUCUGCCCUUGGGUUCGGAAUAACAGUUGGAAACGACUGCUAAUACCGGAUGAUAUCGAAAGAUCAAAGAUUUAUCGCCCAGGGAUGAGCCCGCGUAGGAUUAGCUAGUUGGUGGGGUAAAGGCUCACCAAGGCGACGAUCCUUAGCUGGUCUGAGAGGAUGAUCAGCCACACUGGGACUGAGACACGGCCCAGACUCCUACGGGAGCAGCAGUAGGGAAUAUUGGACAAUGGGCGCAAGCCUGAUCCAGCAAUCGCCGCGUGAGUGAUGGAA
rnacentral:rRNA from 1 species